GAAAUAAAUUAAAUGAAUUUCUAAUUCAAUUAUUAAUAAUAUUAUUAUUAUUAUUUCU
rnacentral:tRNA from 1 species